GACGAACGCUGGCGGCGUGCUUAACACAUGCAAGUCGAACGGAAAGGCCUGCUUUCCCUUGUGGAUUGCGGGUACUCGAGUGGCGAACGGGUGAGUAACACGUGAGUGAUCUGCCCCCAACUUGGGUAUAAGCCUGGGAAACUGGGUCUAAUUCCCGAUAGGACUGCAGGGUGGUGCCUGUGGUGGAAAACGAUGUUCUAGUGGUUGGGGAUGAGCUCGCGGCCUAUCAGCUUGUUGGUGGGGUAAUGGCCUACCAAGGCGGCGACGGGUAGCCGGCCUGGGAGGGUGGACGGGCGCAUUGGGACUGCGAUACGGCCCAGACUCCUACGGGAGGCAGCAGUGGGGAGUAAUGCACGGUGGGCGGAAGCCUGAUGCAGCGACGCCGCGUGGGGGAUGACGGCCUUCGGGUUGUAAACUCCUUUCGACCGCGAGGAAGCCACCUGGUUGGAAGGGUGGUGACGGUAGUGGUAGAAGAAGCACCGGCUAACUACGUG
rnacentral:rRNA from 1 species